rnacentral:lncRNA from 1 species
GUCCAGCCAAAAUGGAGAACCCCUGGCCUGUUCUAGAAGAAGGGAUGGAGAAAUUUUACCUGGAGAAAGACUUGGAAAGUGCUGACUGGACUCCAGACCGCAGCCCAAGGCUUCUGCUCCCACACCCCAGGGCCUCGCACCCCGCCUGACUGAAACAGAUCACGACCGAAGUCCCCUCUUCGUGGAAGUCGGCCAGGAGAUCUUCAGUCACCCGCCUGCCCUGCUCGGAGAGAUCCGGACCAACGGGAGGUGGCAGGCGAGGCGGCGCAGGCGGAAGAGUCUCCGGGACC